rnacentral:rRNA from 1 species
AGCAGUAGCCGCGGUAAUACGUAGGUGGCAAGCGCUAUCCGGAAUUAUUGGGCGUAAAGCGCGCGUAGGCGGUUUUUUAAGUCUGAUGUGAAAGCCCACGGCUCAACCGUGGAGGGUCAUUGGAAACUGGAAAACUUGAGUGCAGAAGAGGAAAGUGGAAUUCCAUGUGUAGCGGUGAAAUGCGCAGAGAUAUGGAGGAACGCCAGUGCGAAGGCGACUUUCUGGUCUGUAACUGACGCUGAUGUGCGAAAGCGUGGGGAUCAAACAGGAUUAGAUACCCGCGUAGUCCCUGUCUCUUAUACA